GCUUACGGCCAUACCACCCUGAAUGCGCCCGAUCUGGUCUGAUCUAGGAAGCUAAGCAGGGUCAGACCUGGUUAGUACUUGGAUGGGAGACCGCCUGGGAAUACCAGGUGCUGUAAGCU
rnacentral:rRNA from 1 species